UUUUCUUUUCAAUUGCUAUUGUCAGAUCUCUUUAUCUACUCCUCGUCGAAAUCAACAGCUUUGUUCCAUAGAAAUUUUAAAACCUUGUGGGAAUUCUAAUUCAUACUUUUCAUUCUUCUUUAUACCAAUCUGUAGUAACAAUUAUUGAUUUGAAACAUUUGUGUCAAAAGGGGGAAAGCUAAUCAUAUCAAUUAAAAGAGGAAGCUAAUAGUAGAAUUCCAAGGUAAACGACAAGGAUAGAGGAAUUUUGGAAAAGCUUUUAAAUUAUGCAAUUGAAGAUAAUUCCUUCAACACUACAAGUUAAAAUCAAUUCUCAAUUUUAUGUUUAGCAUGAAAUUUCCUUUGCAAAUUAAGAUCCGGAUAUGAAAAGAAAAGAGAGAAGUAAUUUUGAUGGGAACGAAAGCAACAAUUUUCAACAGUAUUGUGACCGAGAAUGAAAUCGAAAACAUGAGAGCAAUUGUCAUUAAAAUUUGUCUCCAAUAACCAUAAGAAUGAGUGCCUUCAAGAAGAAGAUGAGAGGGCAGUAUGUUUUUCUUUGAAGAGUCCCCACGUGAACAAAUUCGUGAAUAAAUGUGAGCCAUUAAGAUUAAAACAAAGAACGGCUAGGAUUUAGUGUCAACAAAUCCGUUGACACCUAGUGUCAACAGGUGUCAACGGAU
rnacentral:lncRNA from 1 species